rnacentral:rRNA from 1 species
GACAGAGGUCCCGAGCGUUAGGCGGAAUCACUGGGCUUAAAGCGUGUGUAGGCGGAUUUGUAAGUACCUUGUGAAAUCCCACGGCUCAACCGUGGAACUGCUUGGUAUACUGCUUAUCUUGGGCCAUCUAGGGGCUACCGGAACAAGUGGUGGAGCGGUGAAAUGCGUAGAUAUCAUUUGGAACGCCAAUGGUGAAAACAGGUAGCUGGGGCUGUGCUGACGCUGAGACACGAAAGCCAGGGGAGCAAACGGG